rnacentral:rRNA from 1 species
GGGUUGUGAGGUUAAGCGAAUAAGCGUACACGGUGGAUGCCCUGGCAGUCAGAGGCGAUGAAGGACGUGCUAAUCUGCGAAAAGCGCCGGUAAGGUGAUAUGAACCGUUAUAACCGGCGAUGUCCGAAUGGGGAAACCCGGUGCACUUCGGUGCAUCAUCGUUAGCUGAAUACAUAGGCUAACGAGGCGAACCGGGGGAACUGAAACAUCUAAGUACCCCGAGGAAAAGAAAUCAACCGAGAUUCCCCCAGUAGCGGCGAGCGAACGGGGAACAGCCCAGAGCCUGAAUCAGCUUGUGUGUCAGUGGAACGGUCUGGAAAGGCCGGCGAUACAGGGUGACAGCCCCGUACACGAAGGCACACAGGCUGUGAGCUCGAUGAGUAGGGCGGGACACGUGAUAUCCUGUCUGAAGAUGGGGGGACCAUCCUCCAAGGCUAAAUACUCCUGACUGACCGAUAGUGAACCAGUACCGUGAGGGAAAGGCGAAAAGAACCCCGGCGAGGGGAGUGAAACAGAACCUGAAACCGUGUACGUACAAGCAGUGGGAGCCUUCGUAAGAGGGUGACUGCGUACCUUUUGUAUAAUGGGUCAGCGACUUAUAUUCUGUAGCAAGGUUAACCGUAUAGGGGAGCCGAAGGGAAACCGAGUCUUAAUUGGGCGUUAAGUUGCAGGGUAUAGACCCGAAACCCGGUGAUCUAGCCAUGGGCAGGUUGAAGGUUGGGUAACACUAACUGGAGGACCGAACCGACUAAUGUUGAAAAAUUAGCGGAUGACCUGUGGCUGGGGGUGAAAGGCCAAUCAAACCGGGAGAUAGCUGGUUCUCCCCGAAAGCUAUUUAGGUAGCGCCUCGUGAACUCAUCUCCGGGGGUAGAGCACUGUUUCGGCUAGGGGGCCAUCCCGGCUUACCAACCCGAUGCAAACUGCGAAUACCGGAGAAUGUUAUCACGGGAGACACACGGCGGGUGCUAACGUCCGUCGUGAAGAGGGAAACAACCCAGACCGCCAGCUAAGGUCCCAAAGUCAUGGUUAAGUGGGAAACGAUGUGGGAAGGCCCAGACAGCCAGGAUGUUGGCUUAGAAGCAGCCAUCAUUUAAAGAAAGCGUAAUAGCUCACUGGUCGAGUCGGCCUGCGCGGAAGAUGUAACGGGGCUAAACCAUGCACCGAAGCUGCGGCAGCGACGCUUAUGCGUUGUUGGGUAGGGGAGCGUUCUGUAAGCCUGCGAAGGUGUGCUGUGAGGCAUGCUGGAGGUAUCAGAAGUGCGAAUGCUGACAUAAGUAACGAUAAAGCGGGUGAAAAGCCCGCUCGCCGGAAGACCAAGGGUUCCUGUCCAACGUUAAUCGGGGCAGGGUGAGUCGACCCCUAAGGCGAGGCCGAAAGGCGUAGUCGAUGGGAAACAGGUUAAUAUUCCUGUACUUGGUGUUACUGCGAAGGGGGGACGGAGAAGGCUAUGUCGGCCGGGCGACGGUUGUCCCGGUUUAAGCGUGUAGGCUGACUUUCCAGGCAAAUCCGGAAAGUUAAGGCUGAGGCGUGAUGACGAGGCACUACGGUGCUGAAGUGACAAAUGCCCUGCUUCCAGGAAAAGCCUCUAAGCAUCAGGUAACAUCAAAUCGUACCCCAAACCGACACAGGUGGUCAGGUAGAGAAUACCAAGGCGCUUGAGAGAACUCGGGUGAAGGAACUAGGCAAAAUGGUGCCGUAACUUCGGGAGAAGGCACGCUGACAUGUAGGUGAAGCCCCUGCGGGUGGAGCUGAAGUCAGUCGAAGAUACCAGCUGGCUGCAACUGUUUAUUAAAAACACAGCACUGUGCAAACACGAAAGUGGACGUAUACGGUGUGACGCCUGCCCGGUGCCGGAAGGUUAAUUGAUGGGGUUAUCGCAAGAGAAGCUCCUGAUCGAAGCCCCGGUAAACGGCGGCCGUAACUAUAACGGUCCUAAGGUAGCGAAAUUCCUUGUCGGGUAAGUUCCGACCUGCACGAAUGGCGUAAUGAUGGCCAGGCUGUCUCCACCCGAGACUCAGUGAAAUUGAACUCGCUGUGAAGAUGCAGUGUACCCGCGGCAAGACGGAAAGACCCCGUGAACCUUUACUACAGCUUGACACUGAACAUUGAGCCUUGAUGUGUAGGAUAGGUGGGAGGCUUUGAAGCGUGGACGCCAGUCUGCGUGGAGCCGACCUUGAAAUACCACCCUUUAAUGUUUGAUGUUCUAACCUGGCGCCGUGAUCCGGCGUGGGGACAGUGUCUGGUGGGUAGUUUGACUGGGGCGGUCUCCUCCCAAAGUGUAACGGAGGAGCACGAAGGUCAGCUAAUCCUGGUCGGACAUCAGGAGGUUAGUGCAAUGGCAUAAGCUGGCUUGACUGCGAGAGUGACGGCUCGAGCAGGUGCGAAAGCAGGUCAUAGUGAUCCGGUGGUUCUGUAUGGAAGGGCCAUCGCUCAACGGAUAAAAGGUACUCCGGGGAUAACAGGCUGAUACCGCCCAAGAGUUCAUAUCGACGGCGGUGUUUGGCACCUCGAUGUCGGCUCAUCACAUCCUGGGGCUGAAGUAGGUCCCAAGGGUAUGGCUGUUCGCCAUUUAAAGUGGUACGCGAGCUGGGUUUAGAACGUCGUGAGACAGUUCGGUCCCUAUCUGCCGUGGGCGCUGGAGAAUUGAGGGGGGCUGCUCCCAGUACGAGAGGACCGGAGUGGACGCAUCACUGGUGUUCGGGUUGUCAUGCCAAUGGCACUGCCCGGUAGCUAAAUGCGGAAGAGAUAAGUGCUGAAAGCAUCUAAGCACGAAACUUGCCCCGAGAUGAGUUCUCCCUGAGACUAUAAGUCUCCUGAAGGAACGUUGAAGACGACGACGUUGAUAGGCCGGGUGUGUAAGCGCAGCGAUGCGUUGAGCUAACCGGUACUAAUGAACCGUGAGGCUUAACCUUACAACGCCAAAGAAGU